rnacentral:rRNA from 1 species
UACGUAGGGACCGAGCGUUGUCCGGAAUCAUUGGGCGUAAAGAGCGUGUAGGCGGCUCGCUAAGUCUUGCGUGAAAUCUCGGGGCUCAACCCCGAGCGGUCGUGAGAAACUGGCGGGCUAGAGUGCGGGAGAGGAGAGUGGAAUUCCUGGUGUAGCGGUGAAAUGCGCAGAUAUCAGGAGGAACACCAAUGGCGAAGGCAGCACUCUGGGACGUGACUGACGCUGAGACGCGAAAGCGUGGGGAGCAAACAGG